GCGAUGCAUCGGAUUAUUGGGCGUAAGAGCUCGUAGGCGGUUUGUCGCGUCUGCCGUGAAAGUCCGGGGCUCAACUCCGGAUCUGCGGUGGGUACGGGCAGACUAGAGUGAUGUAGGGGAGACUGGAAUUCCUGGUGUAGCGGUGAAAUGCGCAGAUAUCAGGAGGAACACCGAUGGCGAAGGCAGGUCUCUGAGCAUUAACUGACGCUGAGGAGCGAAAGCAUGGGGAGCGAACAGGAUUAGAUACCCUGGUAGUCCAUGCCGUAAACGUUGGGCACUAGGUGUGGGGGACAUUCCACGUUUUCCGCGCCGUAGCUAACGCAUUAAGUGCCCCGCCUGGGGAGUACGGCCGCAAGGCUAAAACUCAAAGGAAUUGACGGGGGCCCGCACAAGCGGCGGAGCAUGCGGAUUAAUUCGAUGCAACGCGAAGAACCUUACCAAGGCUUGACAUGGACCGGACCGGGCUGGAAACAGUCCUUCCCCUUUGGGGCCGGUUCACAGGUGGUGCAUGGUUGUCGUCAGCUCGUGUCGUGAGAUGUUGGGUUAAGUCCCGCAACGAGCGCAACCCUCGUUCCAUGUUGCCAGCGCGUAAUGGCGGGGACUCGUGGGAGACUGCCGGGGUCAACUCGGAGGAAGGUGGGGACGACGUCAAAUCAUCAUGCCCCUUAUGUCUUGGGCUUCACGCAUGCUACAAUGGCCGGUACAAAGGGUUGCGAUACUGUGAGGUGGAGCUAAUCCCAAAAAGCCGGUCUCAGUUCGGAUUGGGGUCUGCAACUCGACCCCAUGAAGUCGGAGUCGCUAGUAAUCGCAGAUCAGCAACGCUGCGGUGAAUACGUUCCCGGGCCUUGUACACACCGCCCGUCAAGUCACGAAAGUUGGUAACACCCGAAGCCGGUGGCCUAACCCCUUGUGGGAGGGAGCUGUCGAAAGGUGGGACUGGCGAUUG
rnacentral:rRNA from 1 species